rnacentral:rRNA from 1 species
AUUGAACGCUGGCGGCAGGCUUAACACAUGCAAGUCGAGCGGGGUGAUGGUGCUUGCACUAUCACUUAGCGGCGGACGGGUGAGUAAUGCUUAGGAAUCUGCCUAUUGGUGGGGGACAACAUCUCGAAAGGGAUGCUAAUACCGCAUACGUCCUACGGGAGAAAGCAGGGGAUCACUUGUGACCUUGCGCUAAUAGAUGAGCCUAAGUCGGAUUAGCUAGUUGGUGGGGUAAAGGCCUACCAAGCCGACGAUCUGUAGCGGGUCUGAGAGGAUGAUCCGCCACACUGGGACUGAGACACGGCCCAGACUCCUACGGGAGGCAGCAGUGGGGAAUAUUGGACAAUGGGGGGAACCCUGAUCCAGCCAUGCCGCGUGUGUGAAGAAGGCCUUAUGGUUGUAAAGCACUUUAAGCGAGGAGGAGGCUCUUUUGGUUAAUACCCAAGAUGAGUGGACGUUACUCGCAGAAUAAGCACCGGCUAACUCUGUGCCAGCAGCCGCCGUAA